GCGCUCUGAUGGGCAGUGUGAGCGAGACUCCCCCCCGCGCUCUGAUGGGCAGUGUGAGCGAGACUCCCCCCGCGCUCUGAUGGGCAGUGUGAGCGAGACUCCCCCCGCGCUCUGAUGGGCAGUGUGAGCGAGACUCCCCCCCGCGCUCUGAUGGGCAGUGUGAGCGAGACUCCCCCCCGCGCUCUGAUGGGCAGUGUGUGCUACCUGAUCAUGUCAACAGUAUGUAAACUGAACCAGCGUGGCUGUGUGCGAGUUUCAUGUGAAAUGAAAUGCAGGUUUGCCGUUGCGAAUCCCGGAGGUGCAGUGAAGGCAGGUUUGCCGUUGCGAAUCCCGGAGGUGCAGUGAAGGCAGGUUUGCCGUUGCGAAUCCCGGAGGUGCAGUGAAGGCAGGUUUGCCGUUGCGAAUCCCGGAGGUGCAGUGAAGGCAGGUUUGCCGUUGCGAAUCCCGGAGGUGCAGUGAAGGCAGGUUUGCCGUUGCGAAUCCCGGAGGUGCAGUGAAGGCAGGUUUGCCGUUGCGAAUCCCGGAGGUGCAGUGAAGGCAGGUUUGCCGUUGCGAAUCCCGGAGGUGCAGUGAAGGCAGGUUUGCCGUUGCGAAUCCCGCAGGUGCAGUGAAGGCAGGUUUGCCGUUGCGAAUCCCGGAGGUGCAGUGAAGGCAGGUUUGCCGUUGCGAAUCCCGGAGGUGCAGUGAAGGCAGGUUUGCCGUUGCGAAUCCCGGAGGUGCAGUGAAGGCAGGUUUGCCGUUGCGAAUCCCGGAGGUGCAGUGAAGGCAGGUUUGCCGUUGCGAAUCCCGGAGGUGCAGUGAAGGCAGGUUUG